rnacentral:rRNA from 1 species
GAUGAACGCUAGCUACAGGCUUAACACAUGCAAGUCGAGGGGAAACGAUAGAGAAAGCUUGCUUUUUCUAGGCGUCGACCGGCGCACGGGUGAGUAACGCGUAUCCAACCUGCCCAUCACUUGGGGAUAACCUUGCGAAAGUAAGACUAAUACCCAAUGACGUCUCUAGAAGACAUCUGAAGGAGAUUAAAAGAUUUAUCGGUGAUGGAUGGGGAUGCGUCUGAUUAGCUUGUUGGCGGGGUAACGGCCCACCAAGGCGACGAUCAGUAGGGGUUCUGAGAGGAAGGCCCCCCCACAUUGGAACUGAGACACGGUCCAAACUCCUACGGGAGGCAGCAGUGAGGAAUAUUGGUCAAUGGACGAGAGUCUGAACCAGCCAAGUAGCGUGCAGGAUGACGGCCCUAUGGGUUGUAAACUGCUUUUAUAAGGGAAUAAAGUGGGAGUCGUGACUCUUUUUGCAUGUACCUUAUGAAUAAGGACCGGCUAAUUCCGUG